rnacentral:rRNA from 1 species
UACGUAGGCAGCAAGCGUUGUUCGGAGUUACUGGGCGUAAAGGGUGCGUAGGCGGUUCUGUAAGUAUGGUGUGAAAUCUCCCGGCUUAACUGGGAGGGUGCGCUAUAAACUGCGGGGCUAGAGUGUGGGAGAGGAAAGUGGAAUUCCUGGUGUAGCGGUGAAAUGCGUAGAUAUCAGGAGGAACACCGGUGGUGUAAACGGCUUUCUGGACCAUAAACUGACGC